rnacentral:rRNA from 1 species
GAUGAACGCUAGCGGCAGGCCUAACACAUGCAAGUCGAGGGGUAGAGGAAGCUUGCUUCCUUGAGACCGGCGCACGGGUGCGUAACGCGUAUGCAAUCUACCUUUUACAGAGGGAUAGCCCAGAGAAAUUUGGAUUAAUACCUCAUAGUAUCUUUGCCUGGCAUCGGGUGAUUAUUAAAGUUCCAACGGUAAAAGAUGAGCAUGCGUCCUAUUAGCUAGAUGGUAAGGUAACGGCUUACCAUGGCAACGAUAGGUAGGGGUCCUGAGAGGGGGAUCCCCCACACUGGUACUGAGACACGGACCAGACUCCGACGGGGGGCAGCGGUGAGGAAUAUUGGACAAUGGGCGCAAGCCUGAUCCAGCCAUGCCGCGUGCAGGAAGACGGUCCUAUGGAUUGUAAACUGCUUUUGUACGGGAAGAAACACUCCUACGUGUAGGAGCUUGACGGUACCGUAAGAAUAAGGAUCGGCUAACUCCGUGCCAGCAGCCGCGGUAACAC